CCCUUUCGCUUCGACCGAUCUCCUCCCAUAGGUCGAAGCGGAUCCGUCCACGGCAUCCUCCUCCCAAAGCCGUCGGACAUGUCAUGACGCCCACCGGUCCUCCCCCGGUGGGCGUUUUUC
rnacentral:sRNA from 1 species